CGUGCACGUCUCUGUGGCGGCCAUCCUACGAGAAAGUCUGCUCUGCUCACUGCCGGGUGCCGUGCCAUGAAGUGUUUUACGAUGCCAACCCAGUAAAGCGUGAAGACCCAGGACUCAUUCUCGAAGACGGCGGCUAUCACAUGGUGUCCGUCAAGUUCAGCAUGUCUUCUACCAGCGUCAACGUCCUCAUGUUCAUUGAAAAGCUUCA